rnacentral:rRNA from 1 species
ACUCCUACGGGAGGCAGCAGUGGGGAAUAUUGCACAAUGGGGGGAAACCCUGAUGCAGCCAUGCCGCGUGUGUGAAGAAGGCCUUCGGGUUGUAAAGCACUUUCAGUAGGGAGGAAGGUAGUGUAGUUAACACCUGCAUUAUUUGUACGUUACCUACAGAAGAAGCACCGGCUAACUCCGUGCCAGCAGCCGCGGUAAGUACGGAGGGUGCGAGCGUUAAUCGGAAUUACGUGGGCGUAAAGCGCAUGCGAGGCGGCCUGUUAAGUCAGAUGUGAAAGCCCGGGGCUUAACCGUCGGAAUUGCAUUUGAAACUGGCAGGCUAGAGUCUUGUAGGAGGGGUUAGAAUUUCGAGGUGUAGCGGUGAAAUGCGUAGAGAUCUAG